UACGUAGGGGGCAAGCGUUGUCCGGAAUCAUUGGGCGUAAAGAGCGUGUAGGUGGCUCGGUAAGUCCGCUGUGAAAGUCCAGGGCUCAACCCUGGAAAGCCGGUGGAAACUGUCGAGCUCGAGUCCGGAAGAGGCGAGUGGAAUUCCUGGUGUAGCGGUGAAAUGCGCAGAUAUCAGGAGGAACACCAGUGGCGAAGGCGACUUCCUGGCCUGUUCUUGACGCUGAGGCGCGAAAGCUAGGGGAGCAAACGGG
rnacentral:rRNA from 1 species